AGCGAACGCUGGCGGCAGGCUUAACACAUGCAAGUCGAGCGGGCACUUCGGUGUCAGCGGCAGACGGGUGAGUAACACGUGGGAACGUACCCUUCGGUUCGGAAUAACGCUGGGAAACUAGCGCUAAUACCGGAUACGCCCUUUUGGGGAAAGGUUUACUGCCGAAGGAUCGGCCCGCGUCCGAUUAGCUAGUUGGUGGGGUAAUGGCCUACCAAGGCGACGAUCAGUAGCUGGUCUGAGAGGAUGAUCAGCCACACUGGGACUGAGACACGGCCCAGACUCCUACGGGAGGCAGCAGUGGGGAAUAUUGGACAAUGGGCGCAAGCCUGAUCCAGCCAUGCCGCGUGAGUGAUGAAGGCCUUAGGGUUGUAAAGCUCUUUUGUCCGGGACGAUAAUGACGGUACCGGAAGAAUAAGCCCCGGCUAACUUCGUG
rnacentral:rRNA from 1 species